UGUCCCCACGGCGUACGUGUGAAGCGAGCGGCACGUGUUUGUACGAACGCGGUUUUUGCAAAAGAAACCAAACAGAGGAUCCCCAUCUCCAAGACAAGCCCAUGGAGUUUUCGUAGAAACAGAAACACGCCAAUCUUUGUCCUUUUACACUUCCAUUUCCAUCCAUAUCUAAAUAAAAAUUUCCUUCUUCUUACUUCCAUCUUCAAUCUUCAACGAAUCGUUGAGUUUUGGCAAUUGCCAUGCAUGAUAUGCCAAUUGGAUUUCUUCUGUCCCAUUCUCAUAUAUUAAAGUGGCAACUUGGCAUUAUCUUCUUUGGCUGCUGUAACUGUGUAAAAACUGAAAGAGGGAAAAUCUAGCUCACAUACUCAGAUCUUACUGGCUAACAGCUGCUCUCAGAGGUGUCCAGAAAAAUAUGGCUCACUCCCCAAAGCUUCCAAAACAAUGUCAACGUGCUGCUGCUUCUUAUUAAAUGAGCCAAUGGAAUGGCAUGAAAACUGGAAGUAUUCCCCCAGGCAUGGGGUGGACGUCAUUUUUUGUGUUUUAUAUGGUCAACUUUCAGGUGGAUUUUUUGUUUUUUGUUUUUUAUUUUUUAUAUUAAAAAAAACUUCAUAUAUUUUGUGCAGUGGAAGAGGCCUCAACUUUUAGGAUAUUUUUGUCUCCAUUCUUGAAAUUUAUUUAUGGCCAUUUCUAAAAAUAUUAUGAAUAGCAGUAAGUUAGAAAAAAGGAAUAAAAAUUCAUUGAAAAAACUUGAAUAACUGGUAAGUUGAAGUUUU